rnacentral:misc_RNA from 1 species
AACGCACAUUGCGCCCGCCAGCAUUCUGGCGGGCAUGCCUGUCCGAGCGUCAUUUCCCCCCUCACGCGCCCCGUUGCGCGCUGGUGUUGGGGCUCCUCCGCCUGGCGGAGGGCCCCGAAAGCGAGUGGCGGGCCCGGCUGGUUGGCUCCGAGCGCAGUACUGAACCCUGGUUCUCCCCUCGCUCUGGGCCCCGCCGGCGCCCCGCCGUGAAAACCGCACAGUGACGUGCAACCCCACAAGGUUGACCUCGGAUCAGGUAGGACUACCCGCUGAACUUAA